rnacentral:tRNA from 1 species
AAGAUUUUAAGUUAAAUAAACUAAUAACCUUCAAAGUUAUAAAUAUAGAAAAAUUCUUUAAAUCUUA